CGAACGCUGGCGGCGUGCUUAACACAUGCAAGUCGACCGGAAAGGCCCUGCUUUUGUGGGGUGCUCGAGUGGCGAACGGGUGAGUAACACGUGAGUAACCUGCCCUUGACUUUGGGAUAACUUCAGGAAACUGGGGCUAAUACCGGAUAGGAGCUCCUGCUGCAUGGUGGGGGUUGGAAAGUUUCGGCGGUUGGGGAUGGACUCGCGGCUUAUCAGCUUGUUGGUGGGGUAGUGGCUUACCAAGGCUUUGACGGGUAGCCGGCCUGAGAGGGUGGCCGGCCACAUUGGGACUGAGAUACGGCCCAGACUCCUACGGGAGGCAGCAGUGGGGAAUAUUGCACAAUGGGCGGAAGCCUGAUGCAGCAACGCCGCGUGCGGGAUGACGGCCUUCGGGUUGUAAACCGCUUUCGCCUGUGACGAAGCGUGAGUGACGGUAAUGGGUAAAGAAGCACCGGCUAACUACGUG
rnacentral:rRNA from 1 species